UUUUCCACCAGUGCAAAUCAGUGCAAGCUGACAUCACCUCAAAAAAAUCCCCAGCCAGUGCUCCUCAGCUGCUAUAUUAGAUGCUAUGCCCAUAAAAUGUUUGCUGUUAUUUUCAGUUUCACUUUCCUCUGCUGCAUUUCCAUUUGUUUCCUUGUUUCUCAGAAAUCUUUUAUAAACUGAAAGCCUUUACAAGCGAGUGAUUAGAGAGCUUUGGGCAAGCGAACUGACAAGGAGAAAGCCAGAGUAGAGAGAUUAAGAGAGAAAAAAUCAAGAGUCACCAAUCCUAUGAAACAUAGAAGUGAAGUGAAAAAGAGGUAACACUCCACCUCCAACAUGUUCGGUGCUCAUCUGAUGCGUGCCCCAAUCUGCCUGAUUGAAAACAGUAAUGGGCAAUUCGUGGUCAACCAGAAAGCACUGCGGGUGCUUAGGAAAUUUACCCAGCCUUUAGUGGUGGUGGCCAUUGUGGGACUCUAUCGCACUGGAAAAUCCUACCUGAUGAACAAGCUGGCAGGGAGGAGAACUGGCUUCUCCCUUGGAUCCACUGUGCAGUCUCACACCAAGGGCAUCUGGAUGUGGUGUGUCCCUCACCCCACGAAGCCGAAUCACACCCUCGUUCUCCUGGACACCGAGGGCCUGGGUGAUGUGGAGAAGGGAGACAACAAGAAUGACACGUGGAUCUUUGCCCUGGCUGUGCUAUUGUGCAGCACCUUUGUCUACAACAGCAUGGGUACCAUUGACCAGCAGGCCAUGGAAGACAUUUAUUAUGUGACAGAACUGACAGAUAAAAUCAAGGCAAAGUCCUCCUCCAGAACUGAGCAAAUGGAUGACUCCAUGGAACUUGUGAGCCUCUUUCCAGACUUCGUGUGGACUGUGCGUGACUUCAUCUUGGAGCUGGAAAUCGAUGGGCAGCCUGCCACUCCUGAUCAGUACCUGGAGAAUGCCCUGAAACCAAAGAAAGGUACCAGUGAAGAAGCUGGAAUGUGUAUCCAGAAGUUCUUUAGAAACAAGAACUGCUUUGUCUUUGCCCCACCUGCUUAUGGAAAGAAGCUCCUAAAGAUUGAGCAACUUCAUGAUGAUGAACUUGAUGCAGACUUUGUGAAAAGUGCUGAAAACUUCAGGAAUCAUAUCUACAAUAAAGCGAAGGCCAAGACUCUCCCUGGAGGUGCCAUGGUCAAUGGGCCACGCCUAGGAAACCUGGUUGUGAACUAUGUGGAGGCCAUCACCAGUGGAGAUAUUCCCUGUAUGGAGAAUGCGGUCUUGGCUCUGGCUGAGCUAGAGAAUUCAGCUGCAGUUCAAAAGGCCUUUGCAGUGUAUGAAAAGAUGAUGAGACAGGGGAUCCAGUUCCCCACAGAAACCAUUCAAGAAUUGCUGCGUUUACAUGACAUCUGUGAGAGGGAAGCCAUUAAUGUCUUCAUCAAGGACUCUUUCAAGGAUGUGGACCAGAAAUUCCAAAAAGCACUAGAGAACCGGCUGAAAGCCAAGUUAGAUGAAUUCUGUAAACAAAAUGAAAGAGAGUCCCGAGAUCGCUGCACAGCUUUGCUUCAGGAUAUUUUCAGGCCUCUGGAGGAAGCAGUGAAGCAGAGUGCCUUCUCCAAACCAGGGGGCUAUGACAUCUACCUUCAGCAGAUGCGAGAGCUCCAAAAGAAGUACAACCAGCAGCCCAAGAAGGGGAUCCAGGCAAACAAGAUUCUGGAAGAAUACUUAAAGUCAAAGGAAACUGUAGCUGAUGCAAUUAAGCAGGCAGACCAAAGGCUUACUAAAAAAGAAAAUCAGAGGAGAGAGCAAGAGAGGCAAGCACAAGCUGCAGCAGAGGCUGCAAGAAGGAUGGAGAUGGCGCUAAGGAGGCAGGAGGAAAUCAACCGGGCAAUCCAAAGGAGACAAGAAAAAGAACGAAGACAAAUGUUUGAACGUAUGAAAGCCGAGAAUAGAAGAUUGUUGGAAGAGCAAAAGAGAGCGAGGAUUAGGAAAUUGGAGGAAGAAGCACGAAGAAUCCAGGAAGAACAAAGAAGGGCAAUGGCUGAACAGGAACAACAACUCCAGGAAUUGCAGCAGCAAUAUGAUAACCGUAGCUCAGAUAGCUGUACUAUAUUGUGAGGAUAUGAGCUUCACCAUCUCACCCAGAGCUACAGAGUCGUUUCCAAGAGAAAUGUUGACAAUUCACUGGAGACUCAAUUUGCUGAAUUAAUAAUAGAAUUGGAUAACUGAAUGACCAAAGGUAUCUCAGAAAACAUGGUUAAACCCUAGUCCAAAGCAUGUGCCUUUAAAAAAAGAACAAUAUUCCUGACUAGUAAGUGGUCCUUCAGCCUCGGCUCAAAGUUCCCCAAAGAUGGAGACUUCACUGCCUUUUUAGGCAAAGCAUCUCAGUCCACUUUUGGUCAGCUCUCUUUGUUCCGAGGUUUUUCCUUAGCAAAGCAGGAGUUUUCUCUAAAAAUGCCACUCAACUCUGCUUCCUGUGAAUGAUCUCACCUUGUCCAACCCUUCCCAUUUUGAAAUGGAAACUGGAAAAGAGGACAAGAAAAAGAGGAGAAAAGGGACAUUUGAUGGCUUGAAGCAUAUCCCCAAAGAAGCUUGCUGCUGCUGCACUUUCCCAUGUGGGAUCUCUAGUUCUAGGGCCUCUUUUCAUAUAAGGUUAUGGGUUUACUGCUCAGAAGUGGACAAAUGCUCUCCUUCCUCACCCUUAAGAAUGUCAACAAAUCAGUACUGUUUGCUAUAGAUUAUUGCACCUGAGUUAGUAGUUGGGCUGUCACCCCAGGACAAGAUUAGGUGCUUCUGAACAGUGGGAAAAAGCUGAACAACUGACUAGAUGAGGAGGUGAAAGAUGUGUGCCCGAUCAAUGGAUUAACACAGAGAGUUGCAACCCAAGAUCAGCACAUUAGGCAAGGCCAACACCAAAUGAUUUUGAUGAGUGCUGCUUUAUAGUACUGUUUUAAGUCUUAUAUGUCUAAGCCAAAAUGUGAACUGUGAAUCGUCUGAAGUGGUAAGAGGCUGAAACACUUUGAAACUUAUCCUCAAUGGAAAUUGUCACCAGGAAGGAUGUCAGAAAGCAGGAAGACUGAAAUUGCCACAAUCUGAGGAUGAAGAAAGCUCAGAGACCUUGUACAUAAACAGAUACACUAAAGAGAAGAUACUAACAGUAGAAAGAAACAUUGCUUCCACACCUAGCAAAAAAUAAAGGUGCCAUGUAUUCACAGCCUUGUAUCAGUCCAGGUGGGAAGAAUCAGCCACUCUGCCACAACCUCUCCUCUUCCUCAGAGACUUACAUCCUUACCAGUAGGAGAUAGUUCAAUUUAUCCAGUUAGCCUCUUUUUCAUUUCCAGCUCAGAAACCAAUCAAAAAGGCCUCCCUUUUCCUACAUUAAGUGGAGAGGAAGCAUCUUUGAUCUUCCAUCAUGAACUGAUUAUUAAUGGUUAUCUCAAACAGGAUGUCCCAAAGACAUCUUAAAUUCAACCUGUCUAAAACCAAACUCAUUAUCUUUCCCAAUAAAUCCUGCCUCUUCUAAACUUUCCUAUAACUAUUGAGGCUGCCACCAUUCUGCCAGUUACUCAGGAUCAAACACAGGUGUCAUCCUGGACUCCUCAUUCCCACUAACUCCAAUAUCUAAUUUGUUGUUAAGGCCUGUUAAUUUUACCUUCAUAAUAACUCUCCUAUAUAUGUCCUACUUUCCAUGCACACAGCCACCAGUCUGGUGCAGGACCUCAUUACCUCUUAUCUGUAUGCUUCAAUAGUCUGGUGAUUCAAGUCUCUCCUCUCCUGUUCAUUUUCCUUUCAGUUACUAAACCAAACUUCUAGAAGUCUAAUCUGGCCAUGUCAUUCUCCUACUCAGCAAACUCCAGAGGCUGCCAGUUGUCUCUAGUAUCAAAUAUAAAAUAUUUUCACCUUUAAGACUUUGAUUAUCUGUUCCCUUUCCAUUUUUCCAGUCAGUUCCUCUCUACAUACAGCAACACUCACCUUGUUGGUCCCCCUGUGUACUGUUAUACCUCCUAACUCCAUACCCUUUUCACAGGUUUUUUCCCUGUGUGUGGAAUAUUUUCUUUUCUUGUCUUUGCCUCCUAGGUAUGACCCAGAUUGCUCCAAAUUAUGACCUGGAUUGCUUCAAAACUCAUCUAAAAUUCUACCUUCUUUAGAGGGUUUUUCCUACUCUCUCCUCCUCUCCAUAGUCACCCAGCUAGUGUUUUUUCUCUGAGAUUAACUCUUCUUUUUCUUGAUCUAUUUUGGAGUUACAUUAUUGUUUAAUAGUAAGCAACAGUAUGUUUUUGCAUUUCUUUGAAUUCCUAUCACUUAGCACAGUGUCUGGUACAUAGUAGGUGCUGAAAAAGAGCUCGUGAACUAAAGGACUAACAUGCUCCAAAACAGGGAGCAGAACCCUCUGCUAUGUUCUCCAAGUAUCUUUAUUUGGGGGUGUGAUUAAAAAAAAUCCAGACCAUUAUCAGACUGUCCUUUGCUACAAUAAUAAAAUUGUUGCUAUUCUGUC